rnacentral:rRNA from 1 species
GAUGAACGCUGGCGGCGUGCCUAAUACAUGCAGGUCGAGCGAACAGACGAGGAGCUUGCUCCUCUGACGUUAGCGGCGGACGGGUGAGUAACACGUGGAUAACCUACCUAUAAGACUGGGAUAACUUCGGGAAACCGGGGCUAAUACCGGAUAAUAUAUUGAACCGCAUGGUUCAAUAGUGAAAGACGGUUUUGCUGUCACUUAUAGAUGGAUCCGCGCCGCAUUAGCUAGUUGGUAAGGUAACGGCUUACCAAGGCAACGAUGCGUAGCCGACCUGAGAGGGUGAUCGGCCACACUGGAACUGAGACACGGUCCAGACUCCUACGGGAGGCAGCAGUAGGGAAUCUUCCGCAAUGGGCGAAAGCCUGACGGAGCAACGCCGCGUGAGUGAUGAAGGUCUUCGGAUCGUAAAACUCUGUUAUUAGGGAAGAACAAAUGUGUAAGUAACUAUGCACGUCUUGAUGGUACCUAAUCAGAAAGCCACGGCUAACUACGUG